AGUUAAUAAAUUUUUUGUAAUUAAUUAUUUUAUGAAAAAAGUCAUUUUACAAAAAUACUAGGAGAUGAAUUGUGAAAUUUUGGUAAAUCAUCUUACUUUCUGUAAUAAAGUGAUUUUAUCUUAUAAUAAAACCAAGUAAUCAUAGAAUACACCAUUACGGAUGUAUUAUGUAUAUGAUAUUUUUUUUCUUGGUUUGACUUUGUGAACAAUUUACAGAUCUGAUAGAUGUGACAUGUCAAAAAUAAGCAGAAUGUAAAUCAUCUUCUUAGUUGUUCAGUGAAUGGGAUUGGUGGUUCUUGGAUUUUGGUUAGUUUGAAUUCAAUUGAGUGGUUGCAUCCUCUAGAGUAGUUACUUGAAGGGUGGCAGCACAGCCAUUCAAGAGGUGAAGAAAAAACUUUAGAGAAUGUUCCUAUGCUUUGGUUCUCUCAUAAUUUAGGGACGGGAGUAGAUGAAUUUUUAAUGUGGUAGACAAUACUGUGUAAAUUAAGAGAGGUUUUAUUGAGAACUUUGUGGUGUUGAGAGAGAGACAAAAUAUUAGUUUUAUUGUUAGCAGAAGAAAUGAGUUGUAAAUAGAAGUAUAGCUUAUUUUCUCUUUUUGUAUAGCACUUGUAUACAGGAUGCUUUGCCUUUAUUUCGGCACUUGUGAAUGGUUUUUCAUCUUGGAGAAAGUAUUGGAUAUUCCUUAGGAAAAGCAUAUGCAAAGAUAAUCAGAACUAGUUCAUGUUUUACCAUCUUUACAAUCUAGUUCAAAAUCCAACUAUGGACUAAUGAUUUAUUAUUUCUGUUUUUAAGUGUGGGCAUGUUGUGCGUGUUUACUAGGAAAGAUUGGUUUUAUCUAUACAUGAAAUUGUUCACCAAACUUGUUUGUUAUGCAUUCGUUGGUCUGUCUUUCCUUGUAUUCCUAGCAAUUGUGGAUUUUGCUUGUUUAUGAUUGUCAUAAAGAAACUAAAUCAGCUAGUUAGAUUAAGACUGUAUGUGCAUGCACUUGUAUAUUGGUGGUGGCAUAGCAUGUGUUUGUUAUGUUUCUGGUUUUAAAGUUGUUGAACAAGCACUGCACAUGUGAUUGAUGUAGAGAUUCUUUCAGAAUUUAGCUGCUUCUCCUCCUUUAUUUUUUAUAUUCUAAUGGUUAGUCUAUUUAACUUCCCUCAUCAUUGUACCAGGCUGGUUCCCUCAGAGGGGAUGCUAAUCUAGGAAAACUUGGGCAGCUAGAGAACUUCUUGAGCCUCCUUAUCAGCCGAAUCAAGGUGCAACAAAUUGAAAGGAUGGGAUGUGGAGGAGAAACAGAUGCUGAUGAUGGCA
rnacentral:misc_RNA from 1 species